ACACGACUACAUUAGACUACCCCCGUAGUCCUAGGCGUAAAUGAUGCGAGUUAAGUGGUGGGGGCAUCUACGAGAUGGCCCUGUGCUGGUAGGGUAGCCGUUAAACUCGCUGCCGUGGGGAGUACGGUCGCAAGGCUGAAACUUAAAGGAAUUGGCGGGGGAGCACCACAACGGGUGGAGCUUGCGGUUUAAUUGGAUUCAACGCCGGAAAUCUUACCGGGACCGACAGCAACAUGAAGGCCAGGCUGAAGACUUUGCCGGAUUAGCUG
rnacentral:rRNA from 1 species